rnacentral:rRNA from 1 species
GACGAACGCUGGCGGCGCGCUUAACACAUGCAAGUCGAGCGAUGAAACUAUAAAAGUACCCUUCGGGGCGAAGAUAAAGAGGAUUAGCGGCCAACGGGUGAGUAACCCGUGAGUAAUCUGACUUAGACAUUGGGAUAGCCCCGGGAACGCGGGAUAUAUUCCAAAUCAAAGCACAAUGACACAAGACAUAACGACCAAAACUCCGGUGGUCUAAGAUGUACUCGCAUCCCAUUGGCUAGUUGGUAGAGUAACAGCCUACCAAUGCGACGAUGGGUAGACGGGCACUGAGGGUCGGUCGCCACAUUGGAAGUAGGCAGCGGUCCGAACUCCUACGGGAGGCAGCAGUGGGGAAUAGUGCACAAUCGAGUGAGCUCUGAUGCAGCGACGCCCCGUAAACGAAGUAGGCUUUCGAGACGUAAAGUUCUAUUAUAUAGGCAGAUAAUGACGGUACCAUAAGAGAAAGCCCCGGCUAACUACGUG